rnacentral:rRNA from 1 species
UACGUAGGGUGCAAGCGUUAUCCGGAAUUAUUGGGCGUAAAGAGCUCGUAGGCGGUUUGUCACGUCUGCUGUGAAAACUGGAGGCUCAACCUCCAGCCUGCAGUGGGUACGGGCAGACUAGAGUGCGGUAGGGGAGAUUGGAAUUCCUGGUGUAGCGGUGGAAUGCGCAGAUAUCAGGAGGAACACCGAUGGCGAAGGCAGAUCUCUGGGCCGAUACUGACGCUGAGGAGCGAAAGCGUGGGGAGCGAACAGG